CCUACGGGUGGCAGCAGUGGGGAAUAUUGCGCAAUGGGCGAAAGCCUGACGCAGCGACGCCGCGUGAGGGAUGAAGGUCUUCGGAUCGUAAACCUCUGUCAGCAGGGAAGAACGGUCACUGUGCUAAUCAGCAGUGACUUGACGGUACCUGCAAAGGAAGCACCGGCUAACUCCGUGCCAGCAGCCGCGGUCAUACGGAGGGUGCGAGCGUUAAUCGGAAUUACUGGGCGUAAAGCGCUCGUAGGCGGUAUGUCAAGGCAAGGGUGAAAUCCCCGCGCUCAACGGGGGAACUGCCUUUGAAGCUGGCAAACUGGAGUGUGUGAGAGGAUAGUGGAAUUCCAGGUGUAGGAGUGAAAUCCGUAGAUAUCUGGAGGAACAUCAGUGGCGAAGGCGACUAUCUGGCACAUAACUGACGCUGAGGAGCGAAAGCGUGGGUAGCAAACAGGAUUAGAUACCCGGGUAGUC
rnacentral:rRNA from 1 species